UCAGGAUGAACGCUGGCGGCGUGCUUAACACAUGCAAGUCGAACGAUGAUCCCCAGCUUGCUGGGGGGAUUAGUGGCGAACGGGUGAGUAACACGUGAGUAACCUGCCCUUGACUCUGGGAUAAGCCUGGGAAACUGGGUCUAAUACCGGAUAUGACUCCUCAUCGCAUGGUGGGGGGUGGAAAGCUUUUGCGGUUUUGGAUGGACUCGCGGCCUAUCAGCUUGUUGGUGAGGUAAUGGCUUACCAAGGNGACGACGGGUAGCCGGCCUGAGAGGGUGACCGGCCACACUGGGACUGAGACACGGCCCAGACUCCUACGGGAGGCAGCAGUGGGGAAUAUUGCACAAUGGGCGGAAGCCUGAUGCAGNGACGCCGCGUGAGGGANGACGGCCUUCGGGUUGUAAACCUCUUUCAGUAGGGAAGAAGCGAAAGUGACGGUA
rnacentral:rRNA from 1 species